rnacentral:ncRNA from 1 species
AACCGCCGUAUACGGAACCGUACGUACGGUGGUGUGAGAGGACGGGGACCGCGAGGUCCCCUCCUACUCGAU